rnacentral:rRNA from 1 species
ACAGCGAGGAUGUUGGCUUAGAAGCAGCCAUCAUUUAAAGAAUGCGUAAUAGGUCACUGGUCGUGUCGGCCUGCGCGGUAGAUGUAACGGGGCUAAUCCAUGCACCGAAGCUGCGGCAGCGACUCUAUGUGUUGUUGGGUAGGGGAGCGUUCUGUAAGCCGGCGAAGGUGGCCUGUGAGUGCUGCUGGAGGUAUCAGAAGUGCUAAUGCUGACAUAAGUAACGAU